GAUGAACGCUGGCGGCGUGCUUAACACAUGCAAGUCGAACGGUGAAAGCGGAGCUUGCUCUGCUGGAUCAGUGGCGAACGGGUGAGUAACACGUGAGCAAUCUGCCCCUGACUCUGGGAUAAGCGCUGGAAACGGCGUCUAAUACCGGAUACGAGCUGCGAAGGCAUCUUCAGCAGCUGGAAGGAACUUCGGUCAGGGAUGAGCUCGCGGCCUAUCAGCUAGUUGGUGAGGUAACGGCUCACCAAGGCGUCGACGGGUAGCCGGCCUGAGAGGGUGACCGGCCACACUGGGACUGAGGCACGGCCCAGACGCCUACGGGAGGCAGCAGUGGGGAAUAUUGCACAAUGGGCGAAAGCCUGAUGCAGCAACGCCGCGUGAGGGACGACGGCCUUCGGGUUGUAAACCUCUUUUAGCAGGGAAGAAGCGAAAGUGACGGUACCUGCAGAAAAAGCGCCGGCUAACUACGUGCCAGCAGCCGCCGUAA
rnacentral:rRNA from 1 species